rnacentral:rRNA from 1 species
CGGGUGGUAAUGCCGGAUGCUCCGACUCCUCGCAUGGGGUGUCGGGAAAGAUUUCAUCGGUAUGGGAUGGGGUCGCGUCCUAUCAGGUAGUCGGCGGGGUAACGGCCCACCGAGCCUACGACGGGUAGCCGGCCUGAGAGGGCGACCGGCCACAUUGGGACUGAGAUACGGCCCAGACUCCUACGGGAGGCAGCAGUGGGGAAUAUUGCACAAUGGGCGCAAGCCUGAUGCAGCGACGCCGCGUGCGGGAUGACGGCCUUCGGGUUGUAAACCGCUUUUGAUCGGGAGCAAGCCUUCGGGUGAGUGUACCUUUCGAAUAAGCACCGGCUAACUACGUGCCAGCAGCCGCGGUAAUACGUAGGGUGCAAGCGUUAUCCGGAAUUAUUGGGCGUAAAGGGCUCGUAGGCGGUUCGUCGCGUCCGGUGUGAAAGUCCAUCGCUUAACGGUGGAUCUGCGCCGGGUACGGGCGGGCUGGAGUGCGGUAGGGGAGACUGGAAUUCCCGGUGUAACGGUGGAAUGUGUAGAUAUCGAAAAAAAACACCA